rnacentral:rRNA from 1 species
AUUGAACGCUGGCGGCAGGCUUAACACAUGCAAGUCGAGCGGAGAUGAGGUGCUUGCACCUUAUCUUAGCGGCGGACGGGUGAGUAAUGCUUAGGAAUCUGCCUAUUAGUGGGGGACAACAUUCCGAAAGGAAUGCUAAUACCGCAUACGUCCUACGGGAGAAAGCAGGGGAUCUUCGGACCUUGCGCUAAUAGAUGAGCCUAAGUCGGAUUAGCUAGUUGGUGGGGUAAAGGCCUACCAAGGCGACGAUCUGUAGCGGGUCUGAGAGGAUGAUCCGCCACACUGGGACUGAGACACGGCCCAGACUCCUACGGGAGGCAGCAGUGGGGAAUAUUGGACAAUGGGGGGAACCCUAAUCCAGCCAUGCCGCGUGUGUGAAGAAGGCCUUAUGGUUGUAAAGCACUUUAAGCGAGGAGGAGGCUACUGAGACUAAUACUCUUGGAUAGUGGACGUUACUCGCAGAAUAAGCACCGGCUAACUCUGUGCCAGCAGCCGCUGUAACAC